rnacentral:lncRNA from 1 species
AUUUUAAAAAAAUAAUAUCAAACACACCUAGUUUCUUCUAAUCAAUCCCAAUUGCAGGUUUAUAGUACAUUUUACUGUGAACUCUUGUUACCCACCAUCAAGACAAGUAAAAAUUAUUUGCGAAAAAACUUAAAAUUGACAAUUUGCAAGUGGAUACAAAUAGCUAAUUUGCAAGAAAAUAAAUUGAUAUUAACAUAUAGCAGAAUCUUAAUGAUGAAAAUGCAAAGUAUUUGUGAGAAAUAAAAAAUGCGUCAUAAAUUGAUUUUAGCUAAGUGGGUGUAAAUAUUUUAUAGAAAUAGAAAAUAUAGGAGUUUUUAAUUUAGAUUUAUUUUAUCCUUCAAUGUAAUUGUCAUUAAAAAAUUCAAGGGUUUCUUAAUUUAAACUUAUUUUUUCUUUAAUGUAAAUGUUAUAUAAAGUGGGUUAUUGUGUUUUACGAGGAUAAAAUAGUGUUAAAAGCAUCACUCUUACUAAAAUUUUCUGCUAUGUUUAUUUACUAUAGUGAGAGUGAAGAGUGUGAAUUCCUUCUACUCUAUUAUUUACUUACAUAUUUUAAGAGAGAAGUGGCAAUCUCACUUCAUGGGCCUCACUAAUUUUUAGAGUGGAGAGUGGAAAGUGGGAUUUCACCUUCCAUGAGGGGAGUUGGGAG